CUAUUGGAAACCUUUUUUUAUAGGUUUGUUUGUUUCAAGUGAUGUUUGUAAAUUUUUGGGAAUAUAAGGAUAGGAAAUAUGCAUUCUUAUUAUGUAUGUUAUAAGUUCAUUAAGUUUUUUUAUUUUUUUUGUUGAUAGAAGAAAUGACAAAGCCAAUGAAAACUCACACACACAAAGUAGAGUGAACGGAGUUCGACCCUCGGUCCUGACGUCCGACACUAGCAAUUUCGACAUUUCAGUCAGUUCAGCUAGGAUUUGUGGACAAGUUCAUUAAGUUUUAU
rnacentral:lncRNA from 1 species